rnacentral:lncRNA from 1 species
UCCGAGGCAUUCGGGUGCAUCCAGUCGCAAUUCGCAACAUUGAGAAAUGCGGUGUGCUAAACACACCGUCGGCUCAGAUUCACACAGUAAAUGCGUUUUCCUCGUGAAAAUCUUCUCCAGUUUGUUCGCUCUGUUUUCCCUCAUUUCCCCCUUACCCGCUUUAUUACCACUCGACUACCCGCGACGAUCGGUUUUGAGCGUUCUCGCGACCGAGUCAACAUGACGCUCAGGCUACGGCCAGCGGCUGCAAAGGCAACACUCGCACUCUUUUCUUGGAAUUUCCUUGGUGAGCCGGUGAGUCCUGCCUUCAUUUCUGGGGUAAACUCUAAGGACUUAGAGUAAAACUUCCUACCUUCUGAGCUUCUCGGGAGCUGAUGCUGCAAUAACUUGGAAUGCAACGUUGUAUCGGGAUGUAUCGCAACAAAAUGUUCUGCAGCAGGUAUCGGGAGUCGUAUGCCAAGACGUGGAUGCCUCUAAUCACGACCAAACCUCCUCCAUCAAUACCCAUGACACGUGCGUAAUAGUUUGGGCAGAGCCUGGUUGUAAAGGGAACCACAAGAAGAUACAACCUGGCACUCCACAUCAUGAUGAUUUUAAUCAGCUCGGGUUCAACGAUAUCUUGUCAUCGGUUGGGUCAUGUUGAAAAAGGAAAGAAAAUUGUCGUGUAUUUGGUAGCUUGCUGAAAAAAAAUCGACUCUUUUCAACGAAAAAUCUGUUUUCUUGACAGCAUCCUGUUGCGCUGAAAUAAUGCUCCUUUAUUUCGUCAAAUAUCGCCCGGAGGUUCAAAUAUUUAUUGCCUUUCAAAAGCACGAACUCCAAAAUGUAAUGAGACAGCUAAGGUUAUUUUAAACACCUGCUGGUUAAUAUAGGAAGUGAAGCUUCAAACAAAACAAAUUUUGUGUUUAUCGUGUUACAGUUUGCGGUGAAUUUAGCGCAGGAAACAAUGGAGGGGUUUGGAAAAUUCAUUCCUUCGAAUGGCGUAUCGGUAUUCACCAUUCGCUUUUUUUUUUUUUUUUUUUUUUUUUUUUUUUUUUUUGGCCGCCAAAAAACUAGCAAACUAGCUGGCAUUUUCUCUUGAAAGUGUCAAGAAGGGACAACAAGACAAGGGUUUUUUGUUGUUUUAUUCCCCGUAUUGACCAAAAUUUUGUGUUGAAAUUUCUCUCUGUGUACAGUUACAACCAAGAACGGAAAAGCCCAAAAAUGGUAAUAAAACAUAGGAUAAAAUAACGACGAAUGUCAGAGAAUAGCCCAAAAUUAAUUUUUGAAUCAUUAGCAAUGAUAAAGUGGAAAUUUAUUCAACGGUAAUAAUUGUCAUAAACUAAUGUGAUUUUCUCUCUCUUCUUUGUGCGAAAACAAAUU